rnacentral:rRNA from 1 species
GUGGGGAAUAUUGGACAAUGGGCGCAAGCCUGAUCCAGCCAUGCCGCGUGAGUGAUGAAGGCCUUAGGGUUGUAAAGCUCUUUCACCGAUGAAGAUAAUGACGGUAGUCGGAGAAGAAGCCCCGGCUAACUUCGUGCCAGCAGCCGCGGUAAUACGAAGGGGGCUAGCGUUGUUCGGAAUUACUGGGCGUAAAGCGCACGUAGGCGGAUAUUUAAGUCAGGGGUGAAAUCCCGCAGCUCAACUGCGGAACUGCCUUUGAUACUGGGUAUCUUGAGUAUGGAAGAGGUAAGUGGAAUUCCGAGUGUAGAGGUGAAAUUCGUAGAUAUUCGGAGGAACACCAGUGGCGAAGGCGGCUUACUGGUCCAUUACUGACGCUGAGUUGCGAAAGCGUGGGGAGCAAACAGGAUUAGAAACCCGUGUAGUCC